CGUCAUAUGUAUUUAGAUUUAUUUUGGAGUAUAUUUAUUAGCAUUGUUUUUGUGAUUUAUUAUAUUCCGUAUUCCAUGAUUUGUAAGGUUCAUAGUCGGGGUAAUUGCAAUGCUCUUUACUGGAAAGCUGUUUCGAAAUGACCUUUUACAAUAUUUGGGAAUAUUAUUAGACGCAUAAGAACGGUUUGCUGAUAUCCGAUAACAUAUAGAAUUUAAUAUUAUGGCAACACAUAGUCUCAGGCACACAACCUAUACUUCGAACGUAUGUAGAACUCAAGAGUAAGAAACCAAAAGAAACUCAGGAAUCGGGAAUCAGGAAGGGAACAAACCAAAGUUAUAAGCACUGAUAUUUUAUUUGGAAAAACAAGAUCUUUUGAAAAGGGCUGAAGGAUGUAGAAGUACCAUUGACAGACUCCCUCAACGGAUGAGACCCCGCCCUAUGAAUCGAGGCCACACAACCCAAACAACUUUGCUUGCAAAAAUGUUUACUAAAUAAAGAGACAAAUAAAUAUGUUUAGAAAAUGUUUCGAAAUCUACAAGCAAAACUGAAUAAAUGUUGAAUAUCUAA